rnacentral:rRNA from 1 species
CCUACGGGUGGCAGCAGUCGAGAAUCAUUCACAAUGGGGGAAACCCUGAUGGUGCGACGCCGCGUGGGGGAAUGAAGGUCUUCGGAUUGUAAACCCCUGUCAUGUGGGAGCAAAUUAAAAAGAUAGUACCACAAGAGGAAGAGACGGCUAACUCUGUGCCAGCAGCCGCGGUAAUACAGAGGUCUCAAGCGUUGUUCGGAAUCACUGGGCGUAAAGGGUGCGUAGGCUGUUUCGUAAGUCGUGUGUGAAAGGCGCGGGCUCAACCCGCGGACGGCACAUGAUACUGCGAGACUAGAGUAAUGGAGGGGUAACCGGAAUACUCGGAGUAGCAGUGAAAUGCGUAGAUAUCGAGAAGAACACUCGUGGCGAAGGCAGGUUCCUGGACAUUAACUGACGCUGAGGCACGAAGGCCAGGGGAGCGAAAGGGAUUAGAUACCCUGGUAGUC